rnacentral:rRNA from 1 species
CCUACGGGUGGCAGCAGUGAGGAAUAUUGGUCAAUGGACGAGAGUCUGAACCAGCCAAGUAGCGUGCAGGAUGACUGCCCUAUGGGUUGUAAACUUCUUUUAUAAAGGAAUAAAACGAGGCACGUGUGCCUUUUUGCAUGUACUUUAUGAAUAAGGAUCGGCUAACUCCGUGCCAGCAGCCGCGGUAAUACGGAGGAUCCGAGCGUUAUCCGGAUUUAUUGGGUUUAAAGGGAGCGUAGAUGGGUUGUUAAGUCAGUUGUGAAAGUUUGCGGCUCAACCGUAAAAUUGCAAUUGAUGCUGGCAGUCGUGAGUACAGUUGAGGUAGGCGGAAUUCGUGGUGUAGCGGUGAAAUGCUUAGAUAUCACGAAGAACUCCGAUUGCGAAGGCAGCUUACUAAACUGCCACUGACAUUGAUGCUCGAAAGUGUGGGUAUCAAACAGGAUUAGAUACCCUUGUAGUC